CCUACGGGGGGCAGCAGUGGGGAAUAUUGCACAAUUGGCGAAAGCCUGAUGCAGCAACGCCGCGUGAGGGAAGACGGUUUUCGGAUUGUAAACCUCUGUUUUCGGUGACGAACAAAUGACGGUAACCGAGUAGGAAGCCACGGCUAACUACGUGCCAGCAGCCGCGGUAAUACGUAGGUGGCAAGCGUUAUCCGGAAUUACUGGGUGUAAAGGGAGCGCAGGCGGGAUAGCAAGUCAGCUGUGAAAACUAUGGGCUCAACCCAUAAACUGCAGUUGAAACUGUUAUUCUUGAGUGGAGUAGAGGCAAGCGGAAUUCCGAGUGUAGCGGUGAAAUGCGUAGAUAUUCGGAGGAACACCAGUGGCGAAGGCGGCUUGCUGGGCUCUAACUGACGCUGAGGCUCGAAAGUGUGGGGAGCAAACAGGAUUAGAUA
rnacentral:rRNA from 1 species